UACAGAGGGGGCAAGCGUUGUUCGGAAUUACUGGGCGUAAAGCGCACGUAGGCGGCUUCUUAAGUCAGGGGUGAAAUCCUGGAGCUCAACUCCAGAACUGCCUUUGAUACUGAGAGGCUUGAGUCCGGGAGAGGUGAGUGGAACUGCGAGUGUAGAGGUGAAAUUCGUAGAUAUUCGCAAGAACACCAGUGGCGAAGGCGGCUCACUGGCCCGGUACUGACGCUGAGGUGCGAAAGCGUGGGGAGCAAACAGG
rnacentral:rRNA from 1 species